UUCGAUUGUCGAAGUUUAAUUUUUGAAUAUCACAGUGAAUGUGUUAAUUUCUCAAAGCAAUUUUUAUCUACGUUGUGACAGUAAUUUGGCGGAUGCGAGUUUCGAAAAAUAAAUUACAUUAUUUCAAAGAUUCCUGCGUAGGCUUCCCACAAUACAUGUUUUCUUUUUUUUUUGCGAAGUUGUUUGAUGCGCCAUGUGCUCGAAAAUUUGGUUCAUGCUCUCUCAUUCUUAUGGUAGAACGAUUGCGUUUAGCACAGCGAAACAAAAAUUGAAAUUUUUCAAUCAGAUAUCAGAUGCUGGGUUAUAGUUUCAAAUUGUGUUUAUUGCUAUUUUCACUUUUCUUUAUGGUUUUGGUAUUUUGGGAAGAAAUUGUGAAAUUUCCGUCUAAACGGGAUCAAAUAGCAUCGUUCAACAAAGUUUCUCAAAAGCCACAUAACAUCCAAGGCUUCUUCUCUUCCGUUACAAUAUUGUUGAAGUCAGCACAGAAUACAGGCUUUUUAUCAACCUCUCUCACUCUUGGAACAACCUUUUCCUAAGCUAAGGGAAUCAUCCCUUAUUGGAGUCAACUGGGACUGCGAGAAUCUGGAUGAGUAAAACUGAACUAUUAAUUUUCACCAAUAUAUGACUUAUAUGAAACAUCCUACUUCACUGAAACAUUUUUGUAUAUUUUCCAAUGUCAAUGAAUGCCGGCGGCAAUCAUACAGUUUAAACCCUUCAGGGAUUGAAUUAAGAAUCAAUUGAACACGUAACAACGUUACCAAUUUAUUUACCCACUCCAUGGUUCUACAACUCGGGAUGGAUCUUGGCCGACUGUAUCUACUAUUCGCCUUCACUUUUGCCGAUCUUCCAUC